rnacentral:tRNA from 1 species
GGUAAGGCAACGGGUUUUGGUCCCGCUAAUCGGAGGUUCGAAUCC